rnacentral:lncRNA from 1 species
AUGCCAAGAUGGAGGCUGACUCCUGCACACGCCCAUCUGGUUUCCACCACAGGGCACAGCAGCGCUGACAGGUUUCCACCAGGAGGACUGCCGAGCGGAGGGGGAUUGCAGACGGAGGAUCUCACAGCCCGGGGCGCUGCUUGCGGGAAGCGGAUGAAGGAAGUGACAAAAACAGUGGCAGUAAUCCUUGGUGAGUUUGGACACGCACAUCAAGAGCUGAAAGCCUUUGUCUGCUAUAGGUCCAAGAUAACACAGGACAGUAUGCUCAGGAUGAACUCCAUCUACUCCGACAUCAGCCACCUGAAAGCCAAGUAUUCCAUCAAGCCAUGUGUGUUCCUCCUAAAAUCAGCUGAGAAAAGGAGGCAGUGA